AAAGGUUUGUAUCAAGGGGUGGUGGCGCAGUUGGCUAGCGCGUAGGUCUCAUAGCUUUGAGUUAUCCUGAGGUCGAGAGUUCGAGCCUCUCUCACCCCACCAUAUUUUUCUU